UUUAGAACAGAUUACUUCGGUUUGAAGUUCUUUAUGACUGAGUGGCGGACGGGUGAGUAACGCGUGGGUAACCUGCCUUGUACUGGGGGAUAGCAGUUGGAAACGACUGGUAAUACCGCAUAAGCGCACAGCUUCGCAUGAAGCGGUGUGAAAAACUCCGGUGGUGUGAGAUGGACCCGCGUCUGAUUAGGUAGUUGGUGAGGUAACGGCCCACCAAGCCGACGAUCGGUAGCCGACCUGAGAGGGUGAUCGGCCACAUUGGGACUGAGACACGGCCCAAACUCC
rnacentral:rRNA from 1 species